GCCGGGGUGGUGGAACGGUAUACACGAAGGACUUAAAAUCCUUUGCCGAAAGGCUUGCGGGUUCGAUUCCCGCCCCCGGCACCA
rnacentral:tRNA from 1 species